UUAAGCAUAUCAAUAAGCGGAGGAAAAGAAACCAACCGGGAUUGCCUCAGUAACUGCGAGUGAAGUGGCAAAAGCUCAAAUUUGAAAUCCGGUACCUUUGGUGCCUGACUUGUAAUUUGGAGAGACAAAUUUGGUUGACGGUGCCGGCCUAGGUUCCUUUGAACAGGACAACAUAGAGGGUGUGAAUCCCGUUCCUGGUUGGACAUUGCUGUCGCAUUGCUAGAUUGUCUUCGACGAGUCGAGUUGUUUGGGAAUGCAGCUCAAAAUGGGUGGUAAAUGUCAUCUAAAGCUAAAUAUUGGCGAGAGACCGAUAGCGCACAAGUAGAGUGAUCGAAAGAUGAAAAGAACUUUGAAAAGAGAGUCAAAAAGUACGUGAAAUUGCUGAAAGGGAAGCGCUUGGGACCAGACUCGAACCGUGGUGAUCAGCCGUGCUUCUUGCGCGGUGUCACUUGCCGCGGUUUGGGCCAGCAUCGGUUCUGGCGGCCGGAUAAAAGGUGGGGGAAUGUGGCUUCCCUCGGGGAGUGUUAAUUAGCCCGCACCACAAUGCGGCCAGCCGGGACCGAGGGAAAUGUUGCGCUUCGAUGAAGCCAGGAUGCUGGCGUAAUGGUCUUAAGCGACCCGU
rnacentral:rRNA from 1 species